GCACUAGUAGCUUAGUUUUUAAAGCAUCGGUCUUGUAAUCCGGAGAUCGAGGGUUAAAAUCCCUCCCAGUGCC
rnacentral:tRNA from 1 species